AGAUGGCGUCCUUUGCCACUGUGCACUUUACACUCAUAAAUCAUAAAAUCUAACCUUAUGGACUCAAGUAUAACGUCUCUUAUUGAUACAGAAAUAAACACUGGUGUGUGCUGGUCGUUUAGUCCUUGCAAACGUUCCUAUCUUCCUGGGGAUAGGUUCUUCGAGGAUGGGGACAUAUUUUGUGGUGUGCUGUCAAAACAGAUUUUUCUUCCCACAGAAGAUCUUCAAUGGGAUGAUCCAAGUGAAAGUGAACAGAUUGUGUGUGAAUUAGCUGGAUGUCAUAAGGCUUUUGGAAGUGUUGCCAGUUAUGAAGCACACUACAACAGUUACCAUAGAAAUACCUGUGCUGAAUGUCGUCGAACGUUUCCAUCUAACUUUCUCUUGGACCUCCAUAUAUUGGAAAAUCAUGAUGUUCUGUUUAAGCUAAUGUUGAAUGCAAAAUACACAUAUCGAUGUCUUGUCGAGAGUUGCCCAGAUAAGUUUUCAAACGAUGGCGAACGAAAGGAACAUUUGGUCACCGUCCACAAAUAUCCGGCGAAUUUUCGUUUCAACAGACCUACACGCAAGCAAAGAAAACUCCACACCGAAUCUGCGGAGUCCAUGGACACUUCGAAACCAACCAUUGAUAUGAGCUCAAAUUCAACCUGUGAUCUGGUUUCUGAUACAGAAAUGCAAAGCUCAUCUCCAGAGAAGAUGGAAAUUAUUCUAAACGAAAAAAGAAGGAUACCAAAGAACGUUUGUUUUGGUCGUGGCUCAACGGCUGCUUUUCAUAGAAGAGGAAAAUCAAAAGGACGGCGUAAAUAGAUACAAUACAGUACAACAACACAGUACAAUUAGCGGAAAUGGAACAAGACGUACUGUUUUUACAGUUGGCUUUAAUAAACAUCCGCUUUUUGGCACUUAUGAACUACGAGGCGUCGUGGUAAACACUUAUUGUUUAUACGAAGUUGAAUAAGACCUCAUAAAACCAACAAGUAUAACGUAUUUAAAAGAUUUUUGGUGGUGCACACAAAGUAGUCGGCGCAAUAAUUGGACUACAAGACGAGUAUCAUUAGUUUUCUGCUGAUGACUGAGAGACGUCUCAUAUGAUGGCAGGUGUGUUAGAACGUGUUGGUAAAAAAUCAAGAUCGCCAUUAUAUCUGUGACUGCUACAGAACAAGAAAUGGUAUUUAUGAACUCGAAAAAACUUGUUGAAAAUAUUCUCGCUACCAACAGCUAAAGUAAAUUGUUGUUCCUGUGGUUUUUGAUGAUAACAAAUCGUCAAGGAGAGCUCGCCAAAAUUGUUAAAAAUUAGUAACGAAACCAUUCGCGCUUUCAUUCUAUAAAGGAGCUGCAACAGUUGCUACAAUUAUAAACUGAAGAUUUCGUGGUUAUAUUCAUUUCAAACGUUAUUAGAUGAUUACACUAAAGUUAAAACUUUUAUAAUAAUAAGUUUUGAAAAUGA